UCCCUGGUGGCUCAGAUGGUAAAGUGUCUGCCUACAAAGCGGGAGAUCUGGGUUCAAUCCCUGGAUUGGGAA
rfam:Ovis aries breed Texel chromosome 5, whole genome shotgun sequence.